ACGGGAGGCAGCAGUGGGGAAUAUUGGGCAAUGGGCGAAAGCCUGACCCAGCAACGCCGCGUGAAGGAAGAAGAUCCUCGGAUUGUAAACUUCUUUUAUGAGGGACGAAGGAAGUGACGGUACCUCAUGAAUAAGCACCGGCUAAUUACGUGCCAGCAGCCGCGGUAACACGUAAGGUGCGAGCGUUGUUCGGAAUCAUUGGGCGUAAAGGGCAUGUAGGCGGUCUGUCAAGCCAGGCGUGAAAGCCAGGGGCUCAACCCCUGAACUGCGCUUGGAACUGGCGGACUGGAGUCGCUGAGGGGGAACCGGAAUUCCUGGUGUAGGGGUGAAAUCUGUAGAUAUCAGGAAGAACACCGAUGGCGAAGGCAGGUUUCCAGCAGACGACUGACGCUGAGGUGCGAAGGUGCGGGGAGCAAACAGGAUUAGAUACCCUGGUA
rnacentral:rRNA from 1 species